rnacentral:lncRNA from 1 species
CUUAGGUGACGACUAAGCACACGUUUGAUACGUACGUCUCACUCACGCUCGUGCAAAAGACCAUGGAAACUAAUCAACAACCACUAAAUGUCAUGCAAAAACAGAUAAGGCCAAAGAAUUAUCAAUUCACAACUAAUGUCAAUUUUUUCAGUUGACAAUCGCGACGUGAAUUUUUGUGUAGUUUUCUUUUAUUCUCUGUUAAAAAAUUGUGUUUAUAACAAAAGAUCGUGUUUAAAUUCGUGAAAAACUGUUUCGGACGAGAAUUCGGUGACAAAUCAAUGUGUUUAUAUGUGAAAAUUGCGAAAAACUACACACGUGGGCGUUAAAAACAAGAAAAUCAAGAAAAUGCUUUUUGGAGUGAGGCGGCUUUAGCAAUUGGUAAACGUGGUUUUAACUAGCAACUUGAAUAAUUAGUGGACUUAUAUCUAAAAACUUGUUAUCAACGAUUUAUGUGGCUGAAGCAAAGGAUCAAUGUGAAAAAGAGUGCCUAAUUUAACUGAGGGUAUUUUAACGGCAGCACUUUCAAAUGAUUUGGUAAUAUUUUAGGAAGCUAAUUGAGGCAAUAAGGGAUAACCGCUGUGUGCAUGGAUGGCGUCUAGAGUCGUCCCACGAUCAAAUCGCAUAUUCAAAUCUUGAACCCACUUUUAAAACUUCAAAGUGACAGGGUUAAUUGAUUGAUAAUUCCGUUGAAGUUACCAUAAAGACAACAGCAAGAAACACUUCCACUUCUCCCUUGUUUGCGUAAAUACAACUGUCAAACGGUGGCAAAAAAAAACUGUCAAAUUAUUGAUGUGUCAUUGUAGUCGUCCGCCUGCCAACAACAGCUAAAAAAAAAAACUGAAACGAGAGCAAAGCACAAGUGAUAGCUGUCGUUUAUUGAGGAGCAACACAAAAAGAAAACGAACGAAGCAAGUAACGAAAAUAUAAAAGCUAUAAGAGGAAGACAGAGUAAAAAAAAAAGAGAGAGAGGGAAAGGGCGAGGAAAAAAGGCAAGCAGUCUCUACUCUAAACACAUGACAAGCUAAAUAACAGAGUUGAUAUUUGGCAAAAUAUAAAAAAAUGAAAAAAAGUUAAAAAAACUAGAGUAGUUUGCAGAAAAUAUAGAAAAAGAAAGCAUGCACCGCAUGAGUACGAAAAAAAUGAGCUUUAAUAUGAGCAAGCAAGAGAAAGAAAGCUGAGAAAGCUUAAAUUAAGAAAAAAAUAAAGUGUAAUCUACUAAUAAGUAGAGAAAAUAUCGAAAAGAACAAUUAACAGAGUGUGGAAAAUAUCUUUAAAAAAUAAAGAAAGAAAAUAAAAAGCUCUUAAACGAAGAGAAACAAGUUUUCAAAGGCGCUUUGAUUGAUAUAUUUUAAAAAACUAAAGAAAGCAAGCGCUUCAACCACACAAAAUAGCGCAUUGGAUUUAUAAAGAGACUCGAAAUAGAGCUUACAACCGACAAAAAGCUUACACGCGAGCUUACAACCCCAAAGUUGCAGUUUAAAGCUCACAGUGAGUCUAUAAAAAAAAAGGAGAAAGAAAAAAUAACAAAUCUUAAACAGCUAGCGAUCACUGCAACGAAUAAGUUCAAAGAGUAAGACGAGAAAACACAAAGGUUGCACAAGAUUAAGAAAGCUUAACAAAGAAAAAAAAACAAUUUUACGAAAAAAAGUUCCAGAUCAAAACAUUAAAAUAAAAAAUUCAAAAAAAAAAAGAAAACCGACUACUAACCAGCAGCGAGUAAGUCUAGUUAUAUAACGGUAACCUAACGGUGAUUCAGGCAAAAGCUCAUUACGAAUUUUGAAAAAAUCAUUAAAAGCACAACUCAAAAAAAACAACAAAGUACACCUGUCAUUAAAAAUCAUAAU